rnacentral:lncRNA from 1 species
UCCAAAUUUAUUUGCACAAAGAUGACAUGGUGGCUUACAUCCAAUCUACCUGCCAAGAACCAACUUUCAUCCAUGGCGUCUGAAGAGUUUUGACUCAAAAGGGUUUAUUCUUAUGAUUUCUGAUGGGAGUUGAUUAUAGGAAGGAAAUAUGUUUUGAGGGUGAUAUAGUGUGAGGUGGUGUACAUAUAUGCUACAAUUUUGUUUCAAUUUUUCAUUAGAAGCAAAGUUGAGAUUAUUUGACAAAGAAUUGAAGUUUAUGGUUUUUGUACAGACAUAGUAAAGCUAUGUCUCAAACCAAUUUACUAGCAUAGGUUUAAAAUUAUUUUAAUUUAUGAACAAUUAUAAAUUUUGGUUGGAAUAGUUACAUUCUAAACAUGCAUUUGCAUGGAAAUAUUCCCUAGCAUUUCUAAGAAAAAAGAACUUCAAAUGCUCAUAAAUGCUAAUCAAGAAAAAAGAAAUAUAUGUCCAGUGACUAAAGUAACACAUUAUAAUCUGAAAGGAAGCCACCUGCAUGGUAUAAAGAAAAUGAUUAGGAGUUAGUGCUAAAGUAAGGAAACAUGUACUUAACAG